rnacentral:rRNA from 1 species
AUUCCAGCUCCAAUAGCGUAUAUUAAAGUUGUUGCAGUUAAAAAGUUCGUAGUUGGAUUUCGGAAUGGGUCAGUUGGUCCGCCUCACGGUGUGUUACUGACUGGUCUGUUCUUCUUCGCAAAGACUGUGUAUUCUCUUCAUUGAGUGUGCUCAGGAUUUACGACGUUUACUUUGAAAAAAUUAGAGUGUUCAAAGCAGGCCUACCGCUUGAAUACAUGAGCAUGGAAUAAUGGAAUAGGACUUUGGUCUUAUUUUGUUGGUUUCUAAGACCGAAGUAAUGAUUAAGAGGGACAGUUGGGGGCAUUAGUAUUUCGUUGUCAGAGGUGAAAUUCUUGGAUUUACGAAAGACUAACAACUGCGAAAGCAUUUGCCAAGAAUGUUUUCAUCG